rnacentral:RNase_P_RNA from 2 species
CUGCCCGGACAGACGGUCGCGGGCGAUUCGUUCGCUCGAGGAAAGUCCGAACACCACAGGACACGGUGGUGGGUAACGCCCACCGGCCCCGGUCGCGGGUCAGGGAAAGUGCCACAGAAAACAAACCGCCUCGUUCGCGAGGUAAGGGUGAAAAGGUGCGGUAAGAGCGCACCGCCCGGCUGGUGACAGACGGGGCACGGCAAACCCCACCCGGUGCAAGCGCAAGCAGCCUUCCGUCCGCCUCGUGCGGGCGUCCGUAGUCCGCGGAGUGAAGGCGGGUCGCGUGCUCGAGGUCGUCGGCGACGGCGACCCCAGAUGAAUGACCGUCACCCGGUUUCGGCCGGGGACAGAAUUCGGCUUAUGUCCAGUGCGACCAU